AAUGGAAAAGAUGUAGUUGGUGAAGGUAGCGAUCACGAAGAUGACGCUGAGUCGUUGAGGCUGCAGCUACGAAAAUUGCUGCGUAGCCUACAAGAAAAAAAUGAGAUAAUCGAUGAACUUCAGAGUAGACAUAACAAAUAUGAAAAUGAAGCUCGAGAGUUUACUUCUGAUGAUGAUACACUUCUUCCAAGGGAGUCGAGAAGAUGUCGGAGAAGAAAUGAAGUCCAAGACGAGUGGCAGAAUAAAUAUAACCCCAAAUUUGAUAUUCC
rnacentral:lncRNA from 1 species